rnacentral:rRNA from 1 species
UACAGAGGUCUCGAGCGUUAGGCGGAAUCACUGGGCUUAAAGCGUGUGUAGGCGGACUGGUAAGUACCUUGUGAAAUCCCACGGCUCAACCGUGGAACUGCUGGGUAUACUGCUUGUCUUGUGCAACCUAGGGGCGAGCGGAACAGAUGGUGGAGCGGUGAAAUGCGUAGAUAUCAUCUGGAACGCCAAUGGUGAAAACAGCUCGCUGGGGGUUUGCAGACGCUGAGACACGAAAGCCAGGGGAGCGGACGGG